rnacentral:sRNA from 1 species
ACACAGCUGCCUGGUAGGUGACUGGAGGCCUUGAUCGGUUCUCAUUGAGAUUUUGCUGCUGUGGCCCCAACCCUGCCUCCCUCCCCACCCUGCGAUGGCAGAAGAAACUCAACACAACAAAUUGGCUGCAGCCAAGAAGAAGUUAAAAGAAUAUUGGCAGAAAAACAGCCCUAGAGUUCCAGCAGGAGCCAAGAGGAACAGGAAAACAAAUGGCAGUAUCCCUGAGACAGCCACUUCUGGUGGUUGCCAGUCACCUGGGGAUUCAGCAACAGGUUUCCACGGGGAGGGCCCUACAUCAUCUGCUGCCCUGAAGGAUCUGGAGAGCCCGUGCCAAGAACCAGCAGUAGUCCUGGAUUCAAGGUCCGUAAAAAUCAGUCAACUGAAGAACACCAUCAAAUCUUUGGUAAGAGUCCAGUGGGGUCCCCUGAGUCCACGCUGCCAAUCCUGGGCUUCAGUUUCCCCUUGGGGCCCUGAAGAAAGUGCUGGGGGCCCCUGGUGGCAAGGACAAAUAGGGAGCUGGGGUGCCCAGGCCUCACGUGGAGGGACCCCAGAGCAUGCAGCAUAGCUCUUCUUUUGCUGCCCU